rnacentral:rRNA from 1 species
GUGGGGAAUAUUGGACAAUGGGCCACGAGCCUGAUCCAGCAAUUCUGUGUGCACGAUGAAGGUCUUCGGAUUGUAAAGUGCUUUCAGUUGGGAAGAAGAAAGUGACGGUACCAACAGAAGAAGCGACGGCUAAAUAUGUGCCAGCAGCCGCGGUAAUACAUAUGUCGCAAGCGUUAUCCGGAUUUAUUGGGCGUAAAGCGCGUCUAGGCGGUUUACUAAGUCUGAUGUGAAAAUGCGGGGCUCAACUCCGUAUUGCGUUGGAAACUGGUAGACUAGAGUACUGGAGAGGUGGGCGGAACUACAAGUGUAGAGGUGGAAUUCGUAGAUAUUUGUAGGAAUGCCGAUGGAGAAGUCAGCUCACUGGACAGAUACUGACGCUAAAGCGCGAAAGCGUGGGGAGCAAACAGGAUUAGAUACCCUAGUAGUCC